rfam:Erinaceus europaeus unplaced genomic scaffold scaffold00712, whole genome shotgun sequence
AUCUACGGCCAUACCACCCUGAACACACCCGAUCUUGUCUGAUCUCAGAAGCUAAGCGGGGUUGGGCCUGGUCAUUACUUAGAUGGGAAAACCCCAGAGUUCAUCAUGUAUCCUGAUUC